rnacentral:rRNA from 1 species
GAUGAACGCUAGCUACAGGCUUAACACAUGCAAGUCGAGGGGCAGCAUGAACUUAGCUUGCUAAGUUUGAUGGCGACCGGCGCACGGGUGAGUAACACGUAUCCAACCUGCCGAUGACUCGGGGAUAGCCUUUCGAAAGAAAGAUUAAUACCCGAUGGCAUAGUUCUUCCGCAUGGUAGAACUAUUAAAGAAUUUCGGUCAUCGAUGGGGAUGCGUUCCAUUAGCUUGUUGGCGGGGUAACGGCCCACCUAGUCUUCGAUGGAUAGGGGUUCUGAGAGGAAGGUCCCCCACAUUGGAACUGAGACACGGUCCAA